UACAAAGAAUGACUAUGAUUCACCCAUUUCCCCAUUUUUUUUCCAGCUAAGUAUUUUAAAAGAAUCUGGAAUUCCUUAUCCAAUUUGUGCUUAUCUAAUUUUAACUUAGAACGAACAUGACUUUAUAUUCUGCAUAUUUUAAAUAUUUAGUAAAAGGACAUCUCUUUCCAAAGAUUCUAAAUUAUUCAAAUGAUGAGGGGAUUGAUACUCCUCACUGACCUGGUAUUUAAAAUAUACAUAUAUUCCAGCAUUUAAUUCACAGAGAAAAGGAUUUUUUUAAAAAUACAUUUUAUGCACAGAAAUAACAGGCACAUUUGAAUAUAACAAAGAGCAGCUUAUUUUAGGCACAUGAAAUGAAAAAUGAUCACACAGGUUCACGUAGCUUGUGAAAAUAGACCCCGAUAUUAUAAAUGUAGCUCCUGCUUGCUCAAUGAUCUUGUCCUUUGAGACAAAGCCAUAUCUGUGUGUCCACGUCUAGUUGCUUAUAUUUCCAUACAUAUGUGCGAAAGCUUUGAAGGCAGUAAACAAAUUUGAGGACAGAAACAUUUUUCUUUUAAUACCAAGGGCGAGAGCACUUCCCCCAUGAACAUCUCAGGAAAAAAAACAGCAAGAGUGACACUUGUCUCCAGCGCCUCCUGAAACAUUACGCCGCUAAUACCGAACACCUCCGUGCUGCUGAGAGGAACCCUCGAGCCACAGGAAGCUGCCUGCCGUUCACAAGCUGGUGCCUUGUAAGCCUCCACGUCUUACCUGAGUUUGCAGAUGGGCCAUUUCCCAGGUGGGCCUGGCCAAACACUCCUCAUUAAUCAUGGCUUAAACCUCUCUCAGUGGAGAGACCUCAGGAGCAGAGAAAGUUGGAUUUCUCAAUUUAAGCUUUCUACUUCUAGAGAGUACAUCUUCCUUCCAAUUCUGGUUUUCUCCAAAAACAAGAAGAAGCCAUAAUGUUGAAUAAACAAGAGUCCAUAAAGUUGUAUGAAUGAGCAAGUCAUCAAGGCUGAAAUGAAACCAGAAUUUGAAAUUAAGUGACUUGUGGGUUGUUGCAGUUCCAAGCUAAAUUUCCAAGGAAAUGACAUUGAAUAUAUAGAGAUUUCCUCCCCUUAUUUCCACUGUCUGAAGAAACACACAUGCAGAAAGAAAUUGGAAAAGGAUUCUAAUUUAAACAUAUUUUUAAAAUUAAAACAACAGAGUUCUACAUUACUGUUGUGAACUUCUAGGCUCUUGAAAUCUCUUAUUUUAAUAUUAUAAACUUGCCCAUGGAAUUUUUAUUUGAAAUUAUAGAUUGAUAGGAUUCUGGGCUCUACAAAUUUGCUGAAACCUGAAUUAAAUUUAAAUCUCAAAAUCUAUAAGUCAACCCCAAAACUGAUCCUCCUUUUUUAAAAAACAAUUUUCUAUUGACUCUACCAUAUAUCACUAAUGGAUAGGAAUUGGAAUGGGGAAGAAAAGACAAAACAAAAACAAGAAAUUGCACCUCCAUGAGGAGUGGAGCAGUGGAUACCCUUUGACUAGGUCUGGAUUUUUAAAUGAAAUAAAGUCAUUGAGAUGAUGA